AACGAACGCUGGCGGCAUGCCUAACACAUGCAAGUCGAGCGUGACCUUCGGGUCUCGGGGCGCACGUGUCCGUAUCGCGUGGGACCCUGCCCUUAGCUUAGGCACAACUGCCCGAAUGGGAUUCUACUCCCGGGUAAUGUGUUCGGACCCAUGAUUCAUCGCUCUUGUGUGGGCUCGCGUAGGAUUUCCUGGUUGGUAGGCUAAAAGUCGAACAACAGGACGAUCCAUAGCUGGUCUGCGAGGAGGACCAGCCACACUGGGACUGCGACACGGCCCAGACUCCUACGGGAGGCAGCAGUGGGGAAUAUUGGACAAUGGGCGAAAGCCUGAACCAGCACUGCCGGGUGAGUGACGAAGGCCUUAGGGUUGUAAAGCUCUUUUACCCGGGAUGAUAAUGACAGUACCGGGAGAAUAAGCUCCGGCUAACUCCGUU
rnacentral:rRNA from 1 species